rnacentral:lncRNA from 1 species
CUCUCCCUUAUUUUUCUCCAUGCCACCCUUGGUUUUUGGGCGUCAAACCUGAUCACUAAUCCACCUCUUGCUGUCCCAUAAGAUGUGGUUAUUUAUAGGCCAAAAGAAGUUAGAAACUGGAUAGGAGAUAGAGUCCUAACAACUAAGGACUCUUGGAAUUAAGAUGCCACCCAACACAUAUGGAAUUCACACCAAGUUUACACGAAAACAAGGUGGUUUAGGCUUCUUUCUUACAUGCAC